rnacentral:rRNA from 1 species
UACGUAGGGGGCAAGCGUUGUCCGGAUUUAUUGGGCGUAAAGAGCGUGUAGGCGGCCACACAGGUCAGCUGUGAAAACUCGAGGCUCAACCUCGAGACGUCGGUUGAAACCGUAUGGCUAGAGUCCGGAAGAGGAGAGUGGAAUUCCUGGUGUAGCGGUGGAAUGCGCAGAUAUCAGGAGGAACACCAAUAGCGAAGGCAGCUCGCUGGGACGGUACUGACGCUCAGGCGCGAAAGCGUGGGGAGCAAACAGG